rnacentral:rRNA from 1 species
UACGUAGGGUGCAAGCGUUGUCCGGAAUUAUUGGGCGUAAAGAGUGUGUAGGUGGUGUCGUAAGUUUGGUGUGAAAUCUCCCGGCUUAACUGGGAGGGUGCGCCGAAGACUGCGAUGCUGGAGUAUGGGAGAGGAAAGCGGAAUUCCUGGUGUAGCGGUGAAAUGCGUAGAUAUCAGGAGGAACACCUGCGGUGUAGACGGCUUUCUGGACCAUUACUGACACUGAGACACGAAAGCGUGGGUAGCAAACAGG